AGCGAACGUUAGCGGCGCGCCUAACACAUGCAAGUCGCACGAGAAACGGAGCAAUCCGCGGUACAGUGGCGCACGGGUGAGUAACACGUGGAUGACCUUCCCUGGAGUGGUGGAUAACCUGCCGAAAGGCGGGCUAAUACAGCAUGGGACCACGACGCUUUGGCGAUGUGGUGAAAGCGGGCCUCUAUAUAUAAGCUCGCGCUCCGGGACGGGUCCGCGUCCCAUCAGCUAGUUGGUGAGGUAACGGCUCACCAAGGCAACGACGGGUAGCUGGUCUGAGAGGAUGGCCAGCCACACUGGAACUGAGACACGGUCCAGACUCCUACGGGAGGCAGCAGUGAGGAAUCUUGCGCAAUGGGCGAAAGCCUGACGCAGCGACGCCGCGUGGGCGAAGAAGGCCUC
rnacentral:rRNA from 1 species